rnacentral:rRNA from 1 species
AUUGAACGCUGGCGGCAGGCUUAACACAUGCAAGUCGAGCGGAGAUGAGGUGCUUGCACCUUAUCUUAGCGGCGGACGGGUGAGUAAUGCUUAGGAAUCUGCCUAUUAGUGGGGGACAACAUUCCGAAAGGAAUGCUAAUACCGCAUACGUCCUACGGGAGAAAGCAGGGGAUCUUCGGACCUUGCGCUAAUAGAUGAGCCUAAGUCGGAUUAGCUAGUCGGUGGGGUAAAGGCCUACCAAGGCGACGAUCUGUAGCGGGUAUGAGAUGAUGAUCCGCCAGACUGGGACUGAGACACGGCCCAGACUCCUACGGGAGGCAGCAGUGGGGAAUAUUGGACAAUGGGGGGAACCCUGAUCCAGCCAUGCCGCGUGUGUGAAGAAGGCCUUAUGGUUGUAAAGCACUUUAAGCGAGGAGGAGGCUACUGAGACUAAUACUCUUGGAUAGUGGACGUUACUCGCAGAAUAAGCACCGGCUAACUCUGUGCCAGCCGCCGCCGUAA